GCAUAACGCGAAGAACCUUACCAAGGCUUGACACUCCCCUUGACCGGCACAGAGAUGUGCCCUCCCCGUUCGGGGGCAAGGGAGACAGGUGGUGCAUGGUUGUCGUCAGCUCGUGUCGUGAGAUGUUGGGUUAAGUCCCGCAACGAGCGCAACCCUUAUCCUUAGUUGCCAGCACAUAAUGGUGGGCACUCUAAGGAGACUGCCGAUGAUAAAUCGGAGGAAGGUGGGGAUGACGUACAAAUCAUCAUCGCCCCUUAUAUCUUGGGCUACACACGUGCUACAAUGGUCGGUACAACGGGGAGCGAAGGAGUGAUCCGGAGCAAAUCCCAUAAACCGAUCCCAGUUCGGAUUGUAGGCUGCAACUCGCCUACAUGAAGUCGGAGUUGCUAGUAAUCGCGAAUCAGAACGUCGCGGUGAAUGCGUUCCCGGGUCUUGUACACACCG
rnacentral:rRNA from 1 species